CGGCCGCGGUAUUUUGACCGUGCUAAGGUAGCGUAAUCAUUUGUCUUUUAAAUGAAGACCUGUAUGAACGGCUCCACGAAGGCUUAACUGUCUCCUUUUUUAGGUCAAUGAAAUUGAUCUCCCCGUGCAAAAGCGGGGAUACACCCAUAAGACGAGAAGACCCUAUGGAGCUUUAGAUGUUACAACAAGCAUUAUGUGCUAUUCCCAAACAAAGGGGAUAACCACUAGCCCCUGCCCAAACAUCUUCGGUUGGGGUGACCAUGGGAAACAAGAAACUCCCACGUCUCUGUAUUGGAAUCUCCUUAUUUUGACCCAAAAAAACUUCUUCAAACGAGAGCCACCGCUCUAGUUCAACAGAAUUUCUGACCACCGAUCCGGCAACGCCGAUUAACGAACUAAGUU
rnacentral:rRNA from 1 species